rnacentral:rRNA from 1 species
AGAGUUUGAUCAUGGCUCAGAUUGAACGCUGGCGGCAGGCUUAACACAUGCAAGUCGAGCGGAAACGAAAGUAGCUUGCUACUAGGCGUCGAGCGGCGGACGGGUGAGUAAUGCUCAGGAAUCUACCGAGUAGUGGGGGAUAGCCAUUGGAAACGAUGAUUAAUACCGCAUAUAUCCUACGGGGGAAAGCAGGGGACCUUCGGGCCUUGCGCUAUUCGAUGAGCCUGAGUGAGAUUAGCUAGUUGGUAGGGUAAAGGCCUACCAAGGCGACGAUCUCUAGCUGGUCUGAGAGGAUGAUCAGCCACACUGGGACUGAGACACGGCCCAGACUCCUACGGGAGGCAGCAGUGGGGAAUAUUGCACAAUGGGCGAAAGCCUGAUGCAGCCAUGCCGCGUGUGUGAAGAAGGCCUUCGGGUUGUAAAGCACUUUCAGCGAGGAGGAAAGGUCAGUAGCUAAUAAUUGCUGGCUGUGACGUUACUCGCAGAAGAAGCACCGGCUAAUUUAGUGCCAGCAGCCGCGGUAAUACUAAAGGUGCAAGCGUUAAUCGGAAUUACUGGGCGUAAAGCGCGCGUAGGUGGUUUGUCAAGUUGGAUGUGAAAGCCCAGGGCUCAACCUUGGAACAGCAUCCAAAACUGGCUCACUAGAGUACGAGAGAGGUUAGUGGAAUUUCCUGUGUAGCGGUGAAAUGCGUAGAGAUGGGAAGGAACACCAGUGGCGAAGGCGACUGACUGGCUCGAUACUGACACUGAGGUGCGAAAGCGUGGGGAGCAAACGGGAUUAGAUACCCCGGUAGUCCACGCCGUAAACGAUGUCUACUAGAAGCUCGGAACCUCGGUUCUGUUUUUCAAAGCUAACGCAUUAAGUAGACCGCCUGGGGAGUACGGCCGCAAGGUUAAAACUCAAAUGAAUUGACG